GACGCACCCACCGGACGGCGGCGCCCGAUUGGCCGCCGGCGGGGGCGGGGCCGGGACAGCCCUCGCGACUCCCACUGCGCGCCCCGCAGCCGCGGAGCUGGGGGAAACUGAGGCCCGGGAGGCAAAGGGACUGCCCAAGGUCGCCCCGCGGAUGGCUGGCGUGGGGGGCGGGGAAGGGGAGGCGAGGGUCCCGCCGGGCGCCCGUGCCGCGCUGGCGAGGCCCUGAGCGCUCGCGGAACUCGGCUCCGCACGGCGCGACGAGGGGGUCUUGGCCAGGGCCCGGGGACCGGUGCCUAGGGUCUCGGGAGUCCGUGGGGUGCGGGGCGGGAGGACGGGGAAGGGCGUUCCGAGAGCCCCAGGACGCGUCAGCAGGUGGCGGAGGUGCCAGGCCGUGGGCACGAGUGUGAAGGGCAACGGGGACAGGGCGGGGAGGCGCCGCCAGCUCCGACCCCCGCCCCGGCUGCCGGUUCCCUGGGGGUGAGAGAGGACUUUGUGCCCAGCGAGGCGCGCGGGCCCUGCCAGCGCACUGGGAGGUCGCGGCCCCGCAGCCAGUGGCGAGGCUGAGGGGACAGCGCGCAGAGCCCCUUGCCGCGGGAACGAAACUUGUGCAAUGUCCGCCCAGCGCCGCGGCGGCGGGCUCCCGGGGUGACCUCGUAAGUGAGCGGGCGCGGCUUCCACCCAGGUCACCGCGCCGCGCAGGGGCUGCAGACCCUGGCCUUGGGGCCAUUUCGCAAGCUUCUUGGAAAGUCACUCCUGUCGGUUAGCUGGGACUGCUGUGAACUCUGCCCCACCCCCUGGACACCCACGCUCCAUCGGGCCUGCCCAACUCUACCUGCGCACGCCGGCCAGCAAAUGCCAGUCUGUGCGCCUUCCAGAGCCAGGCUGAACACAGACCCUGGUAGCUCCCCGGCGGACCCAAGCUGUGUUGGUUACCCAGCAGCAGGUGGGCUUCCUGCCCUCGGUGGGCCACAUCCUGGCCGCGUGGGUGUUUCCUGGCUCACCCCAGGGCGCAGAGUCUCAAGACAGGGGUGUGUGUGUGUGUGUGUGUGUGUCCUGGUGGUCGCCCUGCACCCAGUGCCACCAAGUGGUGGGAGAGACCUGGCAAGAAUUAUGGAUGCCUGCAAAGGACAUACGGGCUUCAAUCUCCCAGGUGCGCACUCCACAGAUGUAGAAAGUGAUAUUCUUGGGUUCUCGGGGUUCCCAAAGCUUUAGGAGAGAAAACUUGUUUGUGAACCAUGCGUUGGGAGAUGUCACUUCUCUUAUUAAGAUUUAUUUUAUUUAUUUGAAAGAGUUGCAGAGAGCUCAAGAUAGAUAUCUUCCAUCCACUGGUUGACUCCCUAAAUGGCCGCAACAUCAGAGGCUGGGCCGAAGCCAGGAGUCGGGGGCUUUCUCCGGGUCUCCCACAUGGGUGCAGGAGCCCAAGCAGUUGGGCCAUCUUCACUGCCUUCCCAGGCGCAUUAGCAGGGAGCUGGAUUGGAAGUGGAGCAACCAGGAUUCGAACCGGCGCCCAUAUGGGAUGCCAGCACUUUGGUGGUAGAUAUGCCACUUUUGAACCAAGGCUCUCGGCCAACCUCCGCCGGCGUCCUGAAGGUAGAGGGAAGCUGGGGACUUUUCUCGUGGAGUGUCCCGGCCAGACAAAGCUCUGGCCCUGCUUCCUGCGGGGGUCACUUCCGGGAUGCCCCCACCCCUUCAGAAUCAGCCUUUUGUGUGCAGCCAGGAGCUUGUCACUUGUCACACCCCCAGCAUGGGAGGACCUGUCACACAGGGCAGCGCUGCGGCCCGAGCCCCUGGAGUCGGCCCGUCCCUCUGUCUUUGCCUCCACCAGCGUUGACCGGACGUGGACAGCACAUAACGCCGCCCGCGUGGGGACUGAGUACAAAUCUACAGCAUCGGGGGCAACCAGUGCUUUGGAGAAUGUCUCUGGGCACCGCCCAGGCUCCUCUCUGGAGGGCUCCGACUUCAUGGCUUCCAUGCCGUCUCGGGUCCCUUGCCACGUCUCCCACUCUGAAGAUGUCCCCAGAGGUGGGUUUUAACCUGCUCACGUUACAGUAAGGAGACUGUCGAGAGAGAGGCCCCAGCUGACCGGUCCUGUGGGCCAGCUUCAGGCCCCGGGACAGAAGGCAGGUCUGAGAGGCCCUCAGCUGCCCUGCUGAGACGCUCCUGCACCCCAGAGCUGCCCACCCAGCCAGAGCAGCUGUGGGCUCCGGGAGAGAAGCAGGAAGUUGGGCCAUGCAGACGAGGAGCGGGGAGCUGCAGUGAUGGGGCCUGCUGCUCCGUACCAGCAGCAGGUGGAGCGAGGCGUCCGAGUUCAGAGAGAACGCGAGGGCUCCAGCCGCUCGAGUGAAGUGUGCCCCUCAGGCCAGGGGUCCUGGCCGCCGGCUGAUUACCCUGUCACUUAGGCCGUGGCAGAGAGCUGGAUGGGAAGUGGAGCAGCCGAGACUCGAACCGGUGCCCAUAUGGGAUGUCGGCGCUGCAGGCGGAGGAUUAACCUACUGCGUCACGGUGCUGGCCC